GCGCCCGUAGCUCAGUUGGAUAGAGUACUUGGCUUCGAACCAAGUGGUCGGAGGUUCGAAUCCUUCCGGGCGCGCCA
rnacentral:tRNA from 1 species